rnacentral:hammerhead_ribozyme from 1 species
AUCCAGCUGACGCGUUUCAAAUAAAACGAAACGCGCGUUCUGAAU